rnacentral:rRNA from 1 species
UACGAAGGGGGCUAGCGUUGCUCGGAAUCACUGGGCGUAAAGGGCUCGUAGGCGGCCAACUAAGUCAGACGUGAAAUCCCUCAGCUUAACUGGGGAACUGCGUCUGAUACUGGAUGGCUUGGAUUCGGGAGAGAAAUGCGGAAUUCCAGGUGUAGCGGUGAAAUGCGUAGAUAUCUGGAGGAACACCGGUGGCGAAGGCGGCAUUCUGGACCGAUAUUGACGCUGAGGAGCGAAAGCCAGGGGAGCAAACGGG